CUGGGACAGAUUCUAAACAUUUUAAUUUAUCAAUCUUUAACAGUCCUCAGGUUUUCAAUCACAUCACACAUUACAACCAGUCAACAACACAAGCUCAUUAUCAAGAGGGUUUUAAAAUCGCUUACACAAGGAACCAGGUUGGUUCCUUAAACCUCCAAGGGGACUGGCCAUGGCUUUUGUUGAAUCUGAGAGUCUGGAUAGGUACCCACCUCCUACUCCUUCAGUUCAUGAUGGCUUUUGUUGAAUCUGAGAGUCUGGAUAGUCACCCACCUUCUACUCCUUCAGUUCAUGACCACCUUCUUGUUUCUCCAGCUCAAAGACUCCUCCUUUCUCCAAGUCUUCUAGGCGCCAUCACCUUGACAGCUUUCAUGAUGAACCGGGUGAAGAAAG
rnacentral:lncRNA from 1 species